rnacentral:rRNA from 1 species
UACGUAGGGGGCGAGCGUUAUCCGGAAUUACUGGGCGUAAAGCGCACGCAGGCGGUUCGCCAAGUUUGGAGUGACAGUUGUCGGCUCAACCGACAAAGGACUUCAAAAACUGGUGAACUUGAGGACGAGAGAGGAACAUGGAACUCCAGGUGAAGUAGUGAAAUGCGUAGAUAUCUGGAAGAACACCAAUGGCGAAGGCAAUGUUCUGGCUCGUUUCUGACGCUCAGGUGCGAAAGCCAGGGGAGCGAACGGG